CCCCCCACCCCUCACUCUCCGCUGCUUCCUGGCGCGCGGAUGUGGCGCGCGGCCGCGAAGGUGACCCGGAUAGCGGCAGGAGCUUUUUUGCCAACUAUGCCCGGGCUGCAGAAAGCUAGGGGUCUCGUGGCUUCACCAUUAGGCUCCUUCUGCCGGUUUUUUUUCUCGCAGAUAAGAAGCUGCUCAGCUCCUUCAGCCUCAUCAGUCAAGCCAGUGAUUGCGGCCAAGGAACCUUUUCCAGUGGACUUAAUAGCAGAGAAACGCUAUGCCUGGUGUGCUUGUGGACAUAGCCAAAAGCAGCCCUUCUGUGAUGGAACCCAUAAGAAAAGUGCCCCAGAAAUGUCUUCCCUGAAAUUCACAGCUGGAGAAUCGAAAAAGGCCUGGUUAUGUGGGUGUAAAUAUACCAAAAACCCUCCCUAUUGUGAUGGUACCCAUAAAGAAGAUUUUGUGCAAAAGGCUGACCUUCAUUCUCAGCCACAGGUGUAAUGGGAGACUGUUGUGGAAACGAAAGAAGUGACAGAACUCAUCAGGAAAUCAGACCUGGGGCUAAUGUUUCAGGAGAUACUACUGUGGAAACCUUAUUAAAGUGAAUGGGAGUCGGAGGACCCUUGCAAAGUUGUAUUCAUGUUGGUAAAGCUCUGCAAUUUACAUACUUCUAGGGAACCUUGAACAAAGAUUCUCUCAUCUUCCAGGAUAUUAUCACGUGGACUUCCUCAGAAUAGGGAAUUGCCAUUUCUAUGCUGUGCUUAAGCAGUUACGCCAUCCGAGUAGGAGUCAGCUUGGUGGCGUCAUCUCUGCUGCAACUAAACUCAACCAUGUCAGCAAUUCCUGUCUUAGGCAAUCACUUUCUUCUACCCAGGCAGCUCAGGUACAAAAUCUACUUUCAAGAGAUCAGAGUUAGAUUGCAUCACUAUCUAUAUAGCUCCUAUAUGACUAGCCUAGACUAAUAGUUGCACCUUCUCAAUUACUUAAUAGCAGCUUUGUGCUAAAUGUUGCUGCUAUUCACAAAAGCCUCUACUAGGAGAAUUUUGAAUAAAAGAAAGGCUGGCUCACAAGGAGCAAGUUUUUAUUUAACUUGCUCAUUCCAGGAUCUUCUUGUGAGCUACUAAAGAAAAAUGAAUUGCCCUCCCCUGUUUUUAUUCCAUUUUCAAUGAAUUAAUUCUUGAAUUUAUCUGAA